rnacentral:rRNA from 1 species
GAUCAUGGCUCAGGAUGAACGCUAGCUACAGGCUUAACACAUGCAAGUCGAGGGGAAACGACAUCGAAAGCUUGCUUCCGAUGGGCGUCGACCGGCGCACGGGUGAGUAACGCGUAUCCAACCUGCCCACCACUUGGGGAUAACCUUGCGAAAGUAAGACUAAUACCCAAUGGUAUCUCUAGAAGACAUCCGAAAGAGAUUAAAGAUUUAUCGGUGAUGGAUGGGGAUGCGUCUGAUUAG